UUGGUUUGGGAGGAGCCAGGGCAAAAACCUUUCUUUAAACUCGAGUAUGAUUCCGAGCGUCCAAAAGCAAAGCUCAGUUUUGCGAGAGCAAUUGAUCGAAACUGGUUAUUGUCAAUUUAAAUUGGGGGUGUGGCCAGAACUCGGCUUUAUUUUGGCGUGAGAUGCUUAUUUUAACACCAGAAAAGAUAGCGGAAACGCAGGGUUACGGCUUGACGUAGCUUGCGUCUGAAAUUCCCACAUCCUAUUUUGCGCCUAUUUUGUAAAAAUUUAGCCGAUUCCACGCUGGCUGAAACCAGCGCAAACCAAACGAUAAUAAACUCUUAAUAACCACCGAGCGACAGCGCCCUUUAUUCAUUUCCUCCUUUAGAAGGGCGCAGUAACCUUCAAGGCAGAUUGUAGCCUUUCGGAAAUCCCUUAGUAGAAAUGGCCAGUCAUUGAUUGUUCGCCAUGGGUAGGAUACUUUGAUAAAUCGCUGAAGGUUACAAUGGGAGCGGACUCCGGUCAAAGGUACGAUUCCUGCACUAAGUUAAAAAAACAUGUUCCCAGUGUCUAGAUAUGCGGAAGUGAAUUCUGCUGGUAAAUUACAGUACUGUCCAUCCUCUGAAUAAACUUGGACACACAAGGGGGGGGGGCAGGUGGUGGUGGAUGACACUCGGAGGCAGGAAUUUGAGCUGAAGUUGCCCCCAAUCUGGAUAUGUCUUUUUUUUUUCAAUUGCAAUACGUGUUGCCUUGGCCUCUUGGUGCGAUAUCUCUGGAAAGGACGUAACAUCCUCCUGGCGGCACUGAAUUGGCAAGACGUAUUUAAAGGAGCCCAGCGAAAGGUUCCCACUGUGGAGAUUUUUUCAGCCGAUGUAAAUAACGAUAAGGUUCCUGUUCCCAUCCGAUCCCACGGCAACCGAGCAGCAAGGUUGGCAUUUUGGAGUGAACAGGUAACACCGGGAUUAGAAAUGAAAAUGUUACCACGACUUCCUCCUUCAGGGUAAAGUGACAAUUGAGAAUCCC